AGAUGUGAGGGCAAUCUGGCCACAUCUCUCACAGCCACUGAUCAGCAAAGUUCAUUUGGCUGAUCUGGCUGGCUGUAAGGGUGCCUCUCCCACCCUCCUGAAGCUGCAUGCUCAGCUGAAGAGCCUGGUCUUCUCUAAUAACCAAAAUCUAUAAGGA
rnacentral:snRNA from 1 species